rnacentral:rRNA from 1 species
UACGUAGGGUGCAAGCGUUGUCCGGAAUUAUUGGGCGUAAAGAGCUUGUAGGCGGUUUGUCGCGUCUGCUGUGAAAUUUCGGGGCUCAACCCCGAACUUGCAGUGGGUACGGGCAGACUAGAGUGUGGUAGGGGGAGACUGGAAUUCCUGGUGUAGCGGUGAAAUGCGCAGAUAUCAGGAAGAACACCCGUGGCGAAGGCGGCUCUCUGGGACGGUACUGACGCUGAGACGCGAAAGCGUGGGGAGCGAACAGG